rnacentral:pre_miRNA from 1 species
AAUUCCAAUUCCAAUUGAUAACAUGUUAGUUAGCUGAAGAGAUUCUUCAACAUUAGAGGCCAAUAUAGAAUAAUAUUCUUAUUCUUAAUCGGCCUUGAAUGUUAGGAGAACGUUUUCCUCUACCUAAGCAUGCUAUCUCAAAGGAGUUUAAGGAGUGG